AAAUUGAAGAGUUUGAUCAUGGCUCAGAUUGAACGCUGGCGGCAGGCCUAACACAUGCAAGUCGAGCGGAAACGAGUUAUCUGAACCUUCGGGGAACGAUAACGGCGUCGAGCGGCGGACGGGUGAGUAAUGCCUAGGAAAUUGCCCUGAUGUGGGGGAUAACCAUUGGAAACGAUGGCUAAUACCGCAUGAUGCCUACGGGCCAAAGAGGGGGACCUUCGGGCCUCUCGCGUCAGGAUAUGCCUAGGUGGGAUUAGCUAGUUGGUGAGGUAAGGGCUCACCAAGGCGACGAUCCCUAGCUGGUCUGAGAGGAUGAUCAGCCACACUGGAACUGAGACACGGUCCAGACUCCUACGGGAGGCAGCAGUGGGGAAUAUUGCACAAUGGGCGCAAGCCUGAUGCAGCCAUGCCGCGUGUGUGAAGAAGGCCUUCGGGUUGUAAAGCACUUUCAGUCGUGAGGAAGGUGGUAGUGUUAAUAGCACUAUCAUUUGACGUUAGCGACAGAAGAAGCACCGGCUAACUCCGUGCCAGCAGCCGCGGUAAUACGGAGGGUGCGAGCGUUAAUCGGAAUUACUGGGCGUAAAGCGCAUGCAGGUGGUUUGUUAAGUCAG
rnacentral:rRNA from 1 species